AGUAUUCCGCGGACCGGCGGUGGGUCCGCAGCCCUGGCUGUUUUGCAAAAAUUAGGUCAUCCGCACCGACCCCUCCACGUAUCACCAUCGGUACCGAGAGUACGGUAUGGUUCACGCGGUUACACAAAGGUCAGAGCAAUGUUUUAGCGUAAUAUUUCUUCUACCAUUUUCAGUUAACCGCCGCAAUAAUGAAUGUUUAAACGUCGAAGCAAAUACGAAUAGCGAAAUAAAUAAACUCCCUGAUCUAAAACGCAACGUUCGAAUUGAACUCACCUCGCUGAAGAUGGAUGCGAUGCAUUAAAAUGUAUACUAGAACGCGAGAAGAGCGCUUCGAGAUCUCGAAAACAACUCUGCGAUAAUUUAUUGAUCACAAAUCGGUAUUUCGAUAUGGCGUAUCGCGCAGUCCUUCUCGCUGCAUCUCGAUACCCGUCCCCGUAUCGUAGUGAUUACAGACGAGUAUCGGAUAAUUGGAUAAUUAGCGUGCACGGCCAAUCUAGCUGUUGGAACCGUCAGUGUCACUUGAACAGAAACGAUCAUUUCGUACAUGACUGCACGUACGUGACGCACUGGCGCACAUAAUGCGGCGCACGCAAGCUGUCAUUGACAUCGAUAAAUGACCGUUAAAGUGUUAAAAGUACCGUCUUAUUCAAUCAAUUAGUCUCACGACAAUGAUGUACGUAAAUGAUGAUAAUCGCGUGUAAAAGAACGUAUCAUAAAAUCAGACAUGUACAAUACAUUACCACUGAAAAACAUUAUUUAUAAGCCGACUCUUUGUAUAUAGAGAAAUAAUUGAAGAUAAAUGCCGCGAGGGAGUUUUAAUGAACAAAUAAUAACAAACAGUAUAUGCGAAAACCAAUCAGCUUCGGCAUCUCAUAUGAGUGUAGAUCGACUUGAUGCUGAAAACACGGGAGAUAUAAUGAGAGCUACUGUGUGAUCCCACGUGAAAUUUCCGUCGUCAUCAUCUCUCUUUCUCUGAUAUAAGAGAUAUUAUAGAAGAAUAAGAGCCACAACCUACCGAUAAAAACCGGCACUAAGCUCCAGACACAUGUUUUUACGACGCCAAAGACGUAGAAGCAUUACAUCCUUUUACGAUACCACCCCCAUUUUAUGAUCGUUGCGUGUUUCUCAUUGCGGUCUAUUUAUUUAUUUAUUUAUGUACUUGUAUCACUAGUAUGCACAUAAAUGCAUUAGUUUAAAUUAACGUGUAUUUCUAACCUCCUUUGGUACUAUUUUUUAAACUUUGGGUGAUUGCGUGAAAUUGCACAAUAUCACAGGCAAUUAUUUUCAUCAAAAUAACGCUUGUAAAUUUUUUCUUAUAAAGAAGAUUAACUUAAUCUUUUAAAUCUCCAAUUUUUUUGUUCAUCGAGGACAAAAUUAUAACAUUAAUCUAUUGCUUAAAUUAAAGACUUUUUGUAGAUUAAGUUCGAACUAUUUUAGGUUAAUAACAAAAAUAUUAAUCCUUAAUAUAAAAAAACAAACAUAAAUAUUUCAUAUUUGAUCAAUUUCUAUCUAUAAAAGUUUCUUAAAAUUUCCCUUUCUUUAUUUCUUUUGAAAAAAUUUUAUAGUUAAGGUGACUUAUACGAUAAGGUAACCGAGAGAUCCUACUUCAAUUUUUCUACAAACACUACCAAUUUUAUUUUUGUAUCAGAUAUCAAUAUCAGAUGUAUGUAAUAAACAUUGAUUUUUAUAAAAAGUGAAAGUUCUUUUUUAAUUAUUCAUAUCGUAAAUAUUCCAUUUUCAUUCUAAAUUAGUGUCAAUUUUCGUUUAAAAAUUAUUUUUCUAAAAAAAAAAUUUGUUUUAAAGAAACCUAUUUAAAAAGGAGAUUUAAAAAUCAUUGAAUAUUUAAAAAAUACUUCUUUUUCGUGAUUUUUCUAGUUCAUAUCACUUAUGUUCAUAAAUUAUUAGAGAUUUUAAUUACUUCAAAUAAGUCAAAAAGUGAACGAAAUGUCCAUAUAAUAAGAGAUAAGAUACCGUAUUUUUAUGUUAUAUUGUAAGAGUUAAAUAAAAAAAUUCAUUAAAGAAAAGGUGAUACGUUUUAUUACCGUGUACGUUGUUUGUCCUUCAUUGCGCGUUUAUUUAAUAUCAAUCUCCCGACAAAGCAAUGCUUCUACAAUAUAUUCUGAUCGUCAAAAAUUAUACAGAUUUAGUCGAGAAAAUCGUAUAAAAAAAAAGAUAUUAACGGAUCAAUUUUCCAUAGGUAUCGGUACUAUCACCAGACUCAAUGAAGUUUAUAUCGUUCGAACCGUAUGUUCCUGAAAGGGCAAACCUCCCGAUAAUUCCAUAUAUGUUCUAAUCUGACCAGAAAUAGAGAUUACUUAGUGAUUUUGCCGACAGCAAUUUAUCGAUAUAUUGGCACGCAACCUGUCCGAUAAUAAAGAGUAAAUAAAGACUAAAAUAGAUUAUGCUCUCGUUGCAGGAAAAACUCCAUAAGAGAAGUGGUAAGCUCGAAAGGCCGAUCAUAUGCAACAAACGAGAAUGAAAAUAAUGCACAAAACAGACUCUCUUCGUUACAUUAAUAUUGAAGCUAAUAAAUUAUUAUUUACGUAAGUUAAAAUGUUCUAUCGUGUGACAAACUUUUCUACGUUAUGCCAAAAUUUUCUUGCUUUAUGAAGUUUCAGUGAUUGUUCAUUUGUGUGUACAAUACAUUCAUAGAAAUUGUAUAAAACAAUAAUCACGGAAUAUAAUUGAUAAUUUGAGCAUUGAUGGAAGAGCUUGAGCGUGAUCAUUUUGGCGCAACGCUAACGAACGUGUACGGGUUGUAAAUAUCAACGAACGUUGUUGGCUCAUGUUGAUACAAUGUAACGGCAAUUCGCAUGCAAUUGGCGAGAUGUUAUAGGCCAUUAGAGUUGUUCUCGCAUAAAGCACACAGCGCGAUGUAAACCCAGACUGAGCGUAACAAGUUGAUAUAUACGCGCAAUAACAGGAUGUUUAUGCAUAAUGCAAACGGUAGGUAAGUUGUUGAGGUAAGUUCCAAAUACCUCGCGCACAAGACAUUCGCAGGGAUCCCAAGUGGCUGAAAUUCUUUCCUUCUUGUGGGAAUUCGUUCCCCGCCGCGAACGUGAUCCGCGAAAUAUUCUCAUUGGUGCCGGUGUGCACAUAUGACGGCGCAUACAUGACAAUACACGCGCAAGGCGACGCCUCACUACGAGAGUAUCACGGACCACCUAUUGUUACCAAAUUUACUUCACAACCCGACGGAAAAUCGAUACGCUUCAGAUGACUUCGUGUAUCACAUUACUCGCGCACUGAUAUUCUUUUUCUAACGUUUAAUACGUAACGGCUUUACGUAUCACAUUACCAGUUACAAAAAUAUAUAGUCACGAAACUAAUUGUUCAGGCACGGUGAGUUUAUUUUAUGUUAUUUUUAAAUUCACCAAAUAUUAUAAUUCUUAAGGAAAAACUCGAUUUAAAGUAAAAAAACUCUUGCUAGUGACUCUUUGAAGAUUUAUGUGACUAUUCGACUAAAUCUUAAUUACGAUAAAUGAUUUAUAUUAUGUAAUAUAAAAUAAAAUCUUGGAUUUUUUCUUUCUCUAAAAUAUAAAAAAUAUAGACAUACCGAGUAAAAAAUCAACAGAAUAAAAUAACAUAUAUAUCAGCAAUAGAAGACAAAUAUUCCUUAGAGCAUGAAAUGCGAAUAUGUCAUUCUGUCGUAAGAUAAUAUGGCAACCUGAAGAUAAUUAUCUAUAUGAGUGCAGACGGAACAGAAUCCUAGCUAUUCUCCAGCAGGAAAUUUGAAAACGUUAACCAGUGAAGAAUACCGAGGUUUGUACUUUCAAUCAAAUCAAGGUUGAACUAGUAGCGAACUGUAAUUUGAUUUCUUUGCAUGAAUAAAACAUUUUCCGCGAAAUUAA